rnacentral:rRNA from 1 species
GUAGUCCACGCUGUAAACGAUGGGUACUAGGUGUUGUGGGAAUUGACCCCCACAGUGCCGACGCUAACGCAUUAAGUACCCCGCCUGGGAAGUACGGUCGCAAGAUUAAAACUCAAAGGAAUUGACGGGGGCCCGCACAAGCGGUGGAGCAUGUGGUUUAAUUCGAUGCAACGCGAAGAACCUUACCUGGGUUUGACAUCCCCUGACCGCUCUAGAGAUAGAGUUUUCUCUUCGGAGACAGGGAGUACAGGUGCUGCAUGGCUGUCGUCAGCUCGUAUCGUGAGAUGUCGGGUUAAGUCCCUUAACGAGCGCAACCCUUAUCCUUAGUUGCCAUCAUUUAGUUGGGCACUCUAGGGAGACUGCCGGUGUUAAACCGGA